rnacentral:rRNA from 1 species
AUUGAACGCUGGCGGCGUGCUUAACACAUGCAAGUCGAACGCGAAAGGGGGCUUCGGCUCCCGAGUAGAGUGGCGCACGGGUGAGUAACGCGUGGAUAAUCUGCCCUCUUGUUCGGGAUAACUGCUGGAAACGGCAGCUAAUACCGGAUAAGCUCCCCCAAUUGUUUGGGGGAGGAAAGGAGGCCUCUUCAUGAAAGCUUCCGCGAGGGGAUGAGUCCGCGUCCCAUUAGCUAGUUGGUGAGGUAACGGCCCACCAAGGCAACGAUGGGUAGCCGGUCUAAGAGGAUGACCGGCCACACUGGAACUGAAACACGGUCCAG